AUACAUGCAAGUCGAACGAACUCUGGUAUUGAUUGGUGCUUGCAUCAUGAUUUACAUUUGAGUGAGUGGCGAACUGGUGAGUAACACGUGGGAAACCUGCCCAGAAGCGGGGGAUAACACCUGGAAACAGAUGCUAAUACCGCAUAACAACUUGGACCGCAUGGUCCGAGUUUGAAAGAUGGCUUCGGCUAUCACUUUUGGAUGGUCCCGCGGCGUAUUAGCUAGAUGGUGAGGUAACGGCUCACCAUGGCAAUGAUACGUAGCCGACCUGAGAGGGUAAUCGGCCACAUUGGGACUGAGACACGGCCCAAACUCCUACGGGAGGCAGCAGUAGGGAAUCUUCCACAAUGGACGAAAGUCUGAUGGAGCAACGCCGCGUGAGUGAAGAAGGGUUUCGGCUCGUAAAACUCUGUUGUUAAAGAAGAACAUAUCUGAGAGUAACUGUUCAGGUAUUGACGGUAUUUAACCAGAAAGCCACGGCUAACUACGUGCCAGCAGCCGCGGUAAUACGUAGGUGGCAAGCGUUGUCCGGAUUUAUUGGGCGUAAAGCGAGCGCAGGCGGUUUUUUAAGUCUGAUGUGAAAGCCUUCGGCUCAACCGAAGAAGUGCAUCGGAAACUGGGAAACUUGAGUGCAGAAGAGGACAGUGGAACUCCAUGUGUAGCGGUGAAAUGCGUAGAUAUAUGGAAGAACACCAGUGGCGAAGGCGGCUGUCUGGUCUGUAACUGACGCUGAGGCUCGAAAGUAUGGGUAGCAAACAGGAUUAGAUACCCUGGUAGUCCAUACCGUAAACGAUGAAUGCUAAGUGUUGGAGGGUUUCCGCCCUUCAGUGCUGCAGCUAACGCAUUAAGCAUUCCGCCUGGGGAGUACGGCCGCAAGGCUGAAACUCAAAGGAAUUGACGGGGGCCCGCACAAGCGGUGGAGCAUGUGGUUUAAUUCGAAGCUACGCGAAGAACCUUACCAGGUCUUGACAUACUAUGCAAAUCUAAGAGAUUAGACGUUCCCUUCGGGGACAUGGAUACAGGUGGUGCAUGGUUGUCGUCAGCUCGUGUCGUGAGAUGUUGGGUUAAGUCCCGCAACGAGCGCAACCCUUAUUAUCAGUUGCCAGCAUUAAGUUGGGCACUCUGGUGAGACUGCCGGUGACAAACCGGAGGAAGGUGGGGAUGACGUCAAAUCAUCAUGCCCCUUAUGACCUGGGCUACACACGUGCUACAAUGGAUGGUACAACGAGUUGCGAACUCGCGAGAGUAAGCUAAUCUCUUAAAGCCAUUCUCAGUUCGGAUUGUAGGCUGCAACUCGCCUACAUGAAGUCGGAAUCGCUAGUAAUCGCGGAUCAGCAUGCCGCGGUGAAUACGUUCCCGGGCCUUGUACACACCGCCCGUCACACCAUGAGAGUUUGUAACACCCAAAGUCGGUGGGGUAACCUUUUAGGAACCAGCCGCCUAAGGUGGGACAGAUGAUUAGGGUGAAGUCGUAACAAG
rnacentral:rRNA from 1 species